rnacentral:misc_RNA from 1 species
UAAGGCAUUCAAGUAAUAGGCCUCUCUUUGCUUGCAAAGUGGGAGGUCUAUUCGCCUGGCUAGCUCGUUGUAAUUAACAAUGCGAAGUGGAUAUAUUCAAUGCCA